rnacentral:rRNA from 1 species
AUGCAUGAGCAGUGGCAGAAGAUGCCGGAAAAACCAACACAGGAUUGGGCAUGGCCCGAAGCAGAAGAGGCUGCGAUGGUUAUGCUCGGAGUAGGGGCAUCUCGACACCGGAAGCUCGAUGCAGAGCAGGCGAAGCAAGGUCGCUGCUACCGAGCAGCUGCUGCGAGCCAAGCAGCAGCAUGGAGGCGGGGAAGCAGGAGCAAGGCGGCUUGUCGGCACGAGGUAAGGCAGCGACGCAGGCGAGGAGGAGUCCUAGCGGCGGAGCUCCAUGGGAGGCGCGAUCAUGCGCUGCUGCUGGAGCUUCUCAUGCAGAGGGGAAGCCGGCGGUGUCUAGGCACCGGGGAACCACAGCGAGGAGGAGAAGGGAGCAGGGGCGCGCGACUGGGGAAGGCACGUGGUGGUGGCUUGCUCCGGCGCGGGGAAGGUAAGGAAGAAGGGCACGGUGCUCGAGCACUGCGGGCGCGCGACGACGGCAGCAACGCCAUUGCCAGCGACGUCCCAUGGCACAACGCAUGGGAGGCUAAGAAGAGGAACGGAGUGGCCGGUCACUCGAGGUUGAGCUCGCGCGCGAGGGGAGAGGGUGAGGGCUCGGGGCUGCCUCUCUCUCCUCUGGUGGCGCACAGGAGGGAGGAAGGAAACGAGAGGGAGGUGGCGGCGCUAUGGGAGGGAGAGGGAGCCGAGUGA